AUUUCAUGAUGAUAUCUGCUGAUAUUAUCUAUUGCUGCUGGCUUACUUUUUAGAUUUUUCCUUGGUAGAUUAUUUUGGAAUUGGGUGCUUUGAAGGGAAACAAAGAAUUUGCUUGUGUAUUUAUCCAGUUCCUCUCUCAAUGGGGCUGUUGUGUCACAGACAGGUUUCUAGCACACUGGCUGACUGCCCCUGCCCAUGGAUCUCACUGCCUACAGCUUAGGCAAAAUGAAGAGUUUGGCUCCUGCCUGGAAUGAGAUCUUCAAACCUCCGUGUGAAGGUACCGUACUGCACACCACGCAUCUGCAAAGCCCUUCUUCCACCUGUGCACUGUGACUGCUGCGAGCCUGGGACUCUGCUGCACCGCUCCAAACAGGAAUGCAGGCAUCGUGUCUGCAUAUGUGAAGGCUGGGACAGCUUGACCUGUUGCAGUAAGUGGGGUCUCCUUGCUGGCAUUUCAGCACCUUGCUGCCUUGGCCUUACCGGAUCAGUCCCUGCCUGCGUACAACAUUUGUUCAUGUCGCUGCAUGCUGCCUUUGGUCUUCCUACUUCAGGGCAGACAGUCAGCUGCUUCUCAGGAAGAUGUAAACUAAAGAAAGUAUCUUUGGCCUCUGGUCUGGAGUCCUGCGUUACAGAUGUGCAAUGUACUGAGUUGGUGUUGUGGACACAAGAUUGUGCGCUUGGAGCUUCAGAAAUGCUCGUGUCAAGCGUUUGCAGAGCAGAAAUGUCUCGGGGAAGGUCUGCCCUUCCUUCAGGAGACCCUGAGCAAACCCCCA
rnacentral:lncRNA from 1 species